CUUCUUUUUCCCCGGAGCUUGCUCCCCGGAAAAAGAAGAAUGGCCAACGGGUGAAUAACACCUGGGUAACCUGCCCAUCCAAAGGGGAUUACCCUUGGAAACCAGGGCCUAUACCCUAUUACCAUCCAAACCCCCUGGGUUUUAAUUUAAAAGGCCCUUCCGGUGGCCCCUAAUGAAUGAACCCCCGGUGCAUUACCUAUUUGGGAACCUACCGGCUCACCAAGGCCCCGGUGCAUACCCAACCUGAAAGGGUGAUCGGCCACUUUGGGACUGAGACACGGCCCAAACUCCUACGGGAGGCAGCAGUAGGGAAUCUUCGGCAAUGGACGAAAGUCUGACCGAGCAACGCCGCGUGAGUGAAGAAGGUUUUCGGAUCGUAAAACUCUGUUGUUAGAGAAGAACAAGGAUGAGAGUAACUGUUCAUCCCUUGACGGUAUCUAACCAGAAAGCCACGGCUAACUACGUGCCAGCAGCCGCGGUAAUACGUAGGUGGCAAGCGUUGUCCGGAUUUAUUGGGCGUAAAGCGAGCGCAGGCGGUUUCUUAAGUCCGAUGUGAAAGCCCCCGGCUCAACCGGGGAGGGUCAUUGGAAACUGGGAGACUUGAGUGCAGAAGAGGAGAGUGGAAUUCCAUGUGUAGCGGUGAAUGCGUAGAUAUAUGGAGGAACCCAGUGGCGAGGCGGCUCUCUGGUCUGAACUGACCUGAGCUCGAAGCGUGGGAGCAACAGAUAGAUACCUGU
rnacentral:rRNA from 1 species